rnacentral:rRNA from 1 species
GAUGAACGCUAGCGGCAGGCUUAACACAUGCAAGUCGAGGGGUAGAAGUUGCUUGCAACUUUGAGACCGGCGCACGGGUGCGUAACGCGUAUGCAAUCUACCUUAUACAGAGGGAUAGCCCAGAGAAAUUUGGAUUAAUACCUCAUAGUGUAAUUGAAUGGCAUCAUUUAAUUAUUAAAGUUCCAACGGUAUAAGAUGAGCAUGCGUCCUAUUAGCUAGAUGGUAAGGUAACGGCUUACCAUGGCAACGAUAGGUAGGGGUCCUGAGAGGGAGAUCCCCCACACUGGUACUGAGACACGGACCAGACUCCUACGGGAGGCAGCAGUGAGGAAUAUUGGACAAUGGGCGCAAGCCUGAUCCAGCCAUGCCGCGUGCAGGAAGAAGCAUCUAUGGUGUGUAAACUGCUUUUGUACGGGAAGAAACACCCCUUCGUGAAGGGACUUGACGGUACCGUAAGAAUAAGGAUCGGCUAACUCCGUGCCAGCCGCCGCCGUAAGAC